AGAGUCACUCUGCCUUCGGCCGGUUCCUUGUACUGGUCCCUGCUGAUAAUGGAGUUUCGCCGAGUUCCUUUUCUUAUCUUGCCUUACAUUCUACUUACCCCAGCCCCAUGCAAUAGUUAACCCUUCGACUGUCCUCUCUAACUCACUCUUCUCAAGCUGUCAG